GCUAACGACGCAGUGUUGUUAAAUUAUUUAAUUUUUUGCACUCCCCCCCCCCAAAAAAAGUCUAUAUAUUUGGCAGAUGUAAAGCAUACAUGUGUAUGUUUUUUGUGUUAGUCCAUUUUUAUUUUAUUUUAUUAUUAUUAUAACAGCUCAGGGAUGUUCAAGGAGCAACAUGUUGGUGCACUUUCUAAAGAUUUUAGUUCUGUUUUUGAAUAAAGGGUUGGAAAUGAAUGCUUUUCUUUUUUUUUUAAAUCCGAUUCAUCGAUUAAUCGGAAAAAUAAUCGACAGAUUAAUCGAUUAUUAAAAUAAUCGUUAGUUGCAGCCCUAAAUAAAACAAUACAGUUUUUACAAACCCAUGGGAACGGAUUGCGAAAGCAUGCACAUGGAUUAUGAAUUUGUGAGUACGGACUAAAAUACAGAAGGUACGGUUUUCAAAAUGGAGAAUUUCUUGAAUUUUCUAAAAAAACGAUAGAGAGUUGGAUGUACUCAAGAUGAAUUCAAGAGUAUGUCAGAUGAGCAUCUACUGACAUAUGUCCCCAGAUUUGGAGACCGGACUGCAAUAAGACAGUAUACUGAAGAAGAGAAGUAGCUGCAUUAGGAAAUACCAUAGUAUUGGAUGGAAGCAUAAGACUAGACAGUGAGAGAGUCAUUGGGAAGCAUUCUGUACAAUGUGUUUAAACCCUAUACACUGAAAAGUCUAUAAUUUACUUUUAAAGUCAUUUUGGGGGGGGGGGGAAGCUUAGUAGGCCUCACUGUAAAAAAAAAAAAAAAUGACAUUUUGAAAAAUUGUGGAAACUGACAAAUAAAUAUUGGCUCAACAAAUUGCUUCCCAAUAAUUGUACAAAGCAGUACAAAUGCAGUACAAUGAAGUACAACUGGACAAUUGCAGUAUAAUGAAGUAUAUAACUGCAGUUCAUUAAAGUUCAAGAGCAGUAAAACUGAAGUAUAAUGAAGUGCAACUGUAGAUUUGCUGUAUAAUGAAGUGCAGAUACAAUAUACAGUAACUGCAGUUCAGUGAUACGCUGAAAUGCAGGUGAAGAUAUCAGAUGCAAAAACGUCUAAAUCUGUCUGAUUAAAUUCAUUUAAUUGUAUUUUUUUUUUUUAUGAGCAUUUUUUUAAAUAAAGCUCCUAUGAUUAGGUUCAGUAAUUUCACUUAUGGCAAUGAGGUUCUUUUCAUUGCCAAUAAAGUCGUCUUGUAUAGGCCCUGUACUGCAGUUUUUGUACUGUAUUGUGCAACAUGUAGCAAGUGCUGUGGUUGGCAAGUGUUUUUUUUUUUUUUUUUUGUAAUGUAGACUUCCUAUAAAAUAUUCGUACAAAAAUAUUUUUGUACAAAAAUAUUUGCCUAUGGAAUAUUUCACUCACAUAGAUUAAUAACCCGCACGUGUGAUCUUCCUUCGCGCCAAAGGUCGUUGUCCUGACAACGAGUCUCGAGAGCAGCUGAUUACUUGUAACAGACAGUAAAUCAGCGUCUUUUCCGUAGUGUCUACUGCAGGAUGGAUAUAAAAGUAUAAAACACGUUUUGGUUUGACAACAUCGUUCAUAUGUGAACUAUCACAAUUAAAGGACAAAGACAUAACAACAUUACACCCCGAGACCUUUCACAAGUGCGACAAAAGAGAAGAAACGCUUUCCGGAAGAAGUUCAUCAGGCGAGUUGGAGACUAGUCGACUCAUCCAGUUUAGCGGAGAGCAUCAACCCCUAAUUGACAUGAGGAAAAAAUCAUUGAAAAGUGUUCAGUGUACAGUGUACCCCUCUUUGCAGCAGAGGAAGCUUUAGGAAAGAGGAGAAGAGAGAAAGUGAAAAGGCUCUCAACAGAUGUUGGAAAUGCACUGGUAACAACUAAAAAAAGAUGACCAAACAUAUAAUUCAACAGAAGAUGAUGGCUGUGGUGAAACAAGCACUCAAAUAAUGAAAUGCAUGUUAUUGUGGGUAGUUGCAUGGACUAUCAGUGGAGGAACAGAAAGCUCUGAGAUUUCAUUAUAAAGAUCUUCAUUUGUGUUCUGAAGAUGAAUGAAAGACUUGGGUUUGGAACAUCAUGAGGGUGAGUUAUUGAUGACAGAAUUUUCAUUUUUGGGUGAACCAACCUUUUAACUUCUGUUAUCUGGAGUGUUCAAGACAUUGUUAAUGCUGACCAAUAUGUCAUAAGAAAUUAACUGGGAGUAGAAUGAAUACUUUGCACAAACACUUGGUGACAUCACAAUUCAAGAUAUAUUUUAAGCAUACUAAAUAUGCCUGUGGUGAAAAGUGUAACUGAAACUUGAGAAUUUCUGAUCGUUUUUGCUUGUUUGUUUUUCCAGACUACAUCCAAAAUAGUGUUUCCACAUCUGAGAUGAAGGCAGUCAUAAGAGCCAAGCAAAACGAUGAGGAUAAGCUCUUCAAAAAAUGAAACCUGUUUAAAUAAUGCGGGAAGAAAUGUGCAUGAUUGUGUGAUUUGUAAAUAAACACUAAGUACAUUUAGUGUAACUCUCAGCCUGUUAUUUUAAGUUUAAAGAAAAGUAAAAUAAUUUGUUGCAUUGCUGUUUGAGACAUUCACUGUUGUUUUGUACCUUAAUUUAUUAUAUUGCAGUUGUGUAAAAUAAAACUUGUUAUUCUGAAUAUUCUGGUUGCA